AUGAACGCUAGCGGCAGGCCUAAUACAUGCAAGUCGAACGGUAACAGGUGUAGCAAUACAUGCUGACGAGUGGCGCACGGGUGCGUAACACGUAUGCAACCUACCCAUAACUGGAGGAUAGCCCGAAGAAAUUCGGAUUAAUACUCCAUAGUAUAGUGAAGAGGCAUCUCUUUAUUAUUAAAACUACGGUGGUUAUGGAUGGGCAUGCGUUGCAUUAGCUAGUUGGUGAGGUAAUGGCUCACCAAGGCUACGAUGCAUAGGGGAUCUGAGAGGAUUAUCCCCCACACUGGUACUGAGACACGGACCAGACUCCUACGGGAGGCAGCAGUAAGGAAUAUUGGACAAUGGUGGCAACACUGAUCCAGCCAUGCCGCGUGAAGGAUGAAGGCGCUAUGCGUCGUAAACUUCUUUUGAACGGGAGAAACCCCUGAUACGUGUAUCAGGCUGAUAGUACCGUUAGAAUAAGGGUCGGCUAACUUCGU
rnacentral:rRNA from 1 species